CCUGUGCACGCUAAUGAAGACGCCACCGCCACGUCUUAUCUUCGUGGGAACCCUAUCCCGAGUCAACCCCUCGUCCAAGCCUCAUAUCCUAUAAAUAGCCACGACUCUCCUCUUCCGAUUCCCCUUGAAACCCCUCGCCAAAACCCACCGUAUCACACACCCUCAUUGUUGGGAUCUCGCCGGAGUUCACGUGGUUCAUCGGUCGAUUCCAACGCAUGAAGAACCGGAGCCACUGCCUCGAGCUCACAAUGCCGCUGGAGUUCACGAAGUUCAACUCGAUGCUACGCUCGACCCCGACGUCCCCUCACCUCACGAUCCACAGAAAAUCGAACGCCCCCGAACUUCCGCAUCGCCUGGACAUCCUCGCCGACGCCGCGGAGGACCAAAGCCCGGCCGCCCACCUGCCUCUACUUCUCUGCCACACCCGUUUCUUCUGUAUUUUCAACGGAGUGACGAAUAGUUCUACCAAGUCUUUACUCCGAGAGUGUUAUAAUAUCUUCAUCAACUUACCAGGCAAGUUCACUUUGACCAUGCUUUUCAUACCUAUGUUUUUAUUGCAUUUAUUGUCAUCUUUGCAACAAUCCCUCCAGUAGUGAUAUUGAGUUCUUGUAGUUGAGUAGAAUGCAUGAGGUAGGAACCCAUCACCCUGUACCAAGCCUUGGGACGUUGUUUAAUUUUAAUGAUACGCUAUAGUAGACGGGGUUGGUAUGAGUGCUCGGGAGUGGUGUGAGUAUGAAGGACCCCCUACGUCAAUGACGACAACUUCACGAUGGCAUCGGCAAGGACUGCAUCUUCAGGACCUCAAGACUUAAGACCUCAAGAUUUCGAGACUCGAGACAAGAAUUCAAUACACACUACUGCGUGAAGAACGGAUUUGAUGGGCACCCUGGACCAACCAGUGGAUGGUCGAGAUGCAUGGAGAAGCGGCAUGACAUCUUGCGUAAAGCUUCACCCAGACUCAAAGAGACGGAAGAAUACUUCAUGCCCGGAAGCUUACCUGUGCAACCGCAAGUCACUAUGGGCUCUGGUUCGGUUGAGCUUAGUUGUGAUUCUGGCUGGGACGGUGCUAGCAGAUGUAGAACUAUGGUAGGAUUUGAUGAGCGCCGGACAGUGGUCAGAGGAACUCUUCGGAAGACCAUGUUUCGGUCAUUUUGUUCUCAAACACCCUGAAGUGCGAGAACGUAAAAAGAGGGAUCAAAUCUUGCGGGUAAAGUGUACAAACCUCUGCAGAGGGUUUAAACCUAAUCGAUUAGCCGUGUCCCCGGUUUGAGCCUCUGGACUUGGAUCUAUCUCGGAAAUCUCAACACCGGACUUAUAAACUUAAUUGUGGGCAACUUAUGAUGAUUUGGGCUACGAGACAUCGGUUGGCAGAACCCUGUCAUGAUAGAU